rnacentral:rRNA from 1 species
AUAUCAAUAAGCGGAGGAAAAGAAACCAACAGGGAUUGCCUCAGUAACGGCGAGUGAAGCGGCAAGAGCUCAAAUUUGAAAUCUGGCUCCUUCGGGGUCCGAGUUGUAAUUUGUAGAGGAUGCUUCGGGUGCGGCCCCCGUCUAAGUGCUCUGGAACGGGCCAUCGGAGAGGGUGAAAAUCCCGUCUGGGAUGGGGUGUCCGCGUCCAUGUGAAGCUCCUUCGACGAGUCGAGUUGUUUGGGAAUGCAGCUCUAAAUGGGUGGUAAAUUUCAUCUAAAGCUAAAUACUGGCCGGAGACCGAUAGCGCACAAGUAGAGUGAUCGAAAGAUGAAAAGCACUUUGAAAAGAGAGUUAAACAGCACGUGAAAUUGUUGAAAGGGAAGCGCUUGCGACCAGACUCGCUUCCGGGGUUCAGCCGGCUUUCGGGCCGGUGUACUUCCCCGGGGGCGGGCCAGCGUCGGUUUGGGCGGCCGGUCAAAGGCCCCUGGAAUGUAACGCCUCUCGGGGCGCCUUAUAGUCAGGGGUGUCAUGCGGCCAGCCUGGACCGAGGAACGCGCUUCGGCACGGACGCUGGCAUAAUGGUCGUAAACGAC